ensembl:lncRNA
AUCUGACCUCAAGUUCUCUCACAUUGUUAGAUGUGUGAUGUGCGCCGCCUCCUGGGAGCCGCUGAUUUAGUGAUGAUGUGUUGCAGUCGAGUCUGGCGCCGUCCUUCGACCUGAUUUUCCCGCUCUGGUCCUCCGGGGGACGGGAUGCCGUUGAGACGCAGCAAGGGGAUCUGGUGCAGAGGCUCCUCGCCACGUUUACGCCUAUCGAGGAGCGGCGUCCCGCUGCGUCCCGAACGAUCUCGUCCACCGGUGAUCCUUAUUCACAUAGGCGGCCGUUGUCUUCGGGAGGCUUCAUGAACUCUGCUUGAACUUCACGGUUCAUCACUGCACCUUUCAUUUCUUCAUGCUGGCUCCUGUUGGAGUCUCC